rnacentral:rRNA from 1 species
CAGCGCCACGAGUGGCAACCGCGAUUAUUGGGCCUAAAGCGUCCGUAGCCGGUUUGGUAAAUCUUUUGUGAAAUUGUACAGCUCAACUGUACAGCGUGCAAGAGACACUGCCAAACUCGAGACCGGGAGGAGUCAGAAGUAUUCCAGGGGGAGCGGUAAAAUGUUAUAAUCCCUGGAGGACUACCUGUGGCGAAGGCGUCUGACCAGAACGGAUCUGACGGUGAGGGACGAAGGCCAGGGGAGCAAACCGGAUUAGAUACCCGAGUAGUCC